rfam:Colletotrichum chlorophyti strain NTL11 CCHL11_scaffold7, whole genome shotgun sequence.
CAAACGGCCUUCUUAAGGCCAUCAACUCAUACUGUAAGUUCUUU